rfam:Aspergillus zonatus CBS 506.65 unplaced genomic scaffold ASPZOscaffold_3, whole genome shotgun sequence.
GACACUAUGGCCGAGUGGUCUAAGGCGGCAGAUUAGAAAUCUGUUCUCUUCGGAGGCGUAGGUUCGAGUCCUACUGGUGUCG